GUUUGACCGUGGAUAGAUUCCUUGGUGCUGAAAAUCAGAAUCCUGCGACUGGCUGUAAUACUCUGAGCAGUGGUCAGUUUAAAAAGCAGGCACACGAGAGACAGACUGAGAACAAUUAUAUACGUACGCCAGCGAAAAAGAUGCGUUCUCCCUUGUAAUAAAAUCAGGAGAAGAUCGUGGUCUGGAAAUUCGUUUGUUUGCCAGCCCUGCGAGCAGAGAGUUAUUUCUGGGAUCGCAACGAAUUGUUCCCGUUAAAAGCUAGAUUAAAUCUGUGGCUGAGUACUUGUAUUAAGAAUUGUUUAUAUUUACAACUUGAUGCUAAGAGGAUAAGAAAAUAAGUGUAAUAAAUUUUUGAUGUGCUAAACGUUGGCUGUGAUCAGAUUACCUUUUGUUACAGAUGUUAAUUGAAAAGUUUCCAUUAAAUAAAUAAUAUGUUGUUAUUGUU